rnacentral:rRNA from 1 species
CGAGCACGCGCGUGUGGCAUAUCAAUAAGCGGAGGAAAAGAAACUAACAAGGAUUCCCUUAGUAACGGCGAGUGAAGCGGGAAGAGCUCAAAUUUGAAAUCUUCAAGGUUCUACCUUGACGAAUUGUAGUUUAUAGAAGUGUUUUCUGUUAGAGGAGUGGUAAAAGCUCUUUGGAAUAGGACAUCAUAGAGGGUGAGAAUCCCGUAUUUGACUCAUUCCUUCUAGCGUUGUGAUACACUUUCAAAGAGUCGGAUUGUUUGGGAAUGCAGUCCAAAAUGGGUGGUAAAUUUCAUCUAAAGCUAAAUAUUGGCGAGAGACCGAUAGCGAACAAGUACCGUGAGGGAAAGAUGAAAAGAACUUUGAAAAGAGAGUUAAACAGUACGUGAAAUUGUCAAAAGGGAAGCGUUUGACACCAGUGUUGUUUUUCCGAAAAUCAAUUACGAAUGUUUUAUUUUUGAGGAGUUAUGACUUCAUCGGCUUGCUUCUUUCUUUAUGAAACUUUCUUAAUGCACUUUUCGGUUAACGAAGUCAACAUCAAUUUCUUUUGUUGUAAAAGGGUAUGAGGAAGGUGGCUUUCUUUUCGGAGAAAGUGUUUAUAGCCUCGUAGCCUCUGCAAUCGGAGAGAUUGAGGUCUGCAGCGUAGAUCCUUCGGGGUUAGAUACAGUUUGUGCUAAGUUAUAGCUUUUCAUAGACAACUUGUUGACUAUGUUUAGUCUUGUAGCUUACUCGCUAGAUGCUAUUUUACCUACGCUUAGGAUGUUGAUGUGAUACUGCGAGC